rnacentral:rRNA from 1 species
UUACUAUGGAGAGUUUGAUCCUGGCUCAGGAUGAACGCUAGCGGCAGGCUUAAUACAUGCAAGUCGAGGGGGCAGCAAUGUCACCGGCGAACGGGUGCGUAACGCGUAUGCAACCUACCUACAUCAGGGGGAUAGCCCUAGGAAACUGGGAUUAACACCGCAUAAUACUAGACACGGCAUCGUGCUUAGUUGAAAUAUUUAUAGGAUGUAGAUGGGCAUGCGUAGGAUUAGCUAGUUGGUAAGGUAACGGCUUACCAAGGCUACGAUCCUUAGGGGCUCUGAGAGGAGUAUCCCCCACACUGGCACUGAGAUACGGGCCAGACUCCUACGGGAGGCAGCAGUAGGGAAUAUUGGGCAAUGGAGGCAACUCUGAC